UUGACUUUUGGACUCUCGUUGAGUGUUUCUUGGAUUUGCUGUCUGCUAAUUGGAGGGAUAACUUGUUUUACACUUAAAGGUAAUUCUAAUGGGCAUCAUGCCUACACUGGACCUGAACCAACUGGAUCCUAUGCCAAAGCAAGUGUGGUGCCUAGUCCAAAUGCUAAAGCUACUGGCCAAUGCCACGUCAGCAGAAGCUUCUGGCCACAAUGCCACGUCAGCAGAAGCUACUGGCCACAAUGCCACGUCAGCAG